AGUUUUAUGAUUAUAACAAGCAAGCUAUGAAUAGAAUAUAGAAGUUUGAGGUUUAUAUAAAAUAGGUUCUGCUCGAUGAUUAAUUUAAAUGGCCGCAGUACCCUGACUGUGCUAAGGUAGCAUAAUAAAUUGUCUUUUAAUUGAAGACUAGGAUGAAUGGGAGUUUGGGAAGGGGCUGUCUCUGGAGGACUACUUUUAAUUUAUUUAUUAGGUGAAAAUCCCUAAACGUAUAGAUAAAAGACGAGAAGACCCUAAGAAUUUUUAUAAUAAGGAGAAAUUUUCUUUAAUUUUUGUUGGGGUGACAAAUUAGCAAAAAUUUACAACCUAUUUUAAAAGUACGUUCCGAAGUAAGUUAUUAAAGAGUAAAUUACCUUAGGGAUAACAGCAUAAUUUUACUAUAAGAUUGUGACCUCGAUGUUGGACUAGGGAAUUAAUAGUUAGUAACUAAAUUAAACAGUUCUGUUCGAACUUUUGCCCCU
rnacentral:rRNA from 1 species